rnacentral:rRNA from 1 species
AAGGUUUGACAUGGAGGGCAAAGUUGAAGAAAUUCAACGGAGGUUAUCCCGACACAGGUGGUGCAUGGUCGUCGUCAGUUCGUGCUGUGAAGCAUAUGCUUAAGUGCUAUAACGAACGCAACCCUCGUAUUUAGUUACUAUCAUUCAGUUGAGAACUCUAAAUAGACUGCUAAGGUAACUUAGAGGAAGGAGAGGAUGACGUCUGAUCAUCAUGCCCCUUAUAUCUUGGCUA